CAGCCGCCACGGUAAUACAGAGGGUGCGAGCGUUAAUCGGAUUUACUGGGCGUAAAGCGUGCGUAGGCGGCUUCUUAAGUCGGAUGUGAAAUCCCUGAGCUUAACUUAGGAAUUGCAUUCGAUACUGGGAAGCUAGAGUAUGGGAGAGGAUGGUAGAAUUCCAGGUGUAGCGGUGAAAUGCGUAGAGAUCUGGAGGAAUACCGAUGGCGAAGGCAGCCAUCUGGCCUAAUACUGACGCUGAGGUACGAAAGCAUGGGGAGCAAACAGGAUUAGAGACCCCCGUAGUCCCUGUCUCUUAUAC
rnacentral:rRNA from 1 species